UGUAAGAUGAAAUCCCAUGAACAAAAGAAAUAGAGCAGCAUGUGUUUUACUCACUGUGUAACCCAAAACAAGAGGAUUUUCAGCAUUAGGAGUUUUCACCAGAGCAAGCUUUUUGUCUUCAGGUUUGUCUAUGAGGUAAUAAAUGAAUCACUUUUCAGUCAUUUGGCUCAAUUAUAACAAAAUGGUUGAACGGAACAUGGAUAUAUGCAGAUCGGAUAAAAAGGCAAAGAAUUUCUCACAUGCAAGCCAGGCCCAACCAGAGCCAAAUUGUGUUGCUGCAGCUGCCUUAAAUUCUUUAACAAACGUAUCAUA
rnacentral:lncRNA from 1 species